CCUACGGGAGGCAGCAGUGGGGAAUAUUGGACAAUGGGGGCAACCCUGAUCCAGCCAUGCCGCGUGUGUGAAGAAGGCCCUCGGGUUGUAAAGCACUUUCAGUGAGGAAGAACGCCUGGUGGUUAAUACCCAUCAGGAAAGACAUCACUCACAGAAGAAGCACCGGCUAACUCCGUGCCAGCAGCCGCGGUAAUACGGAGGGUGCGAGCGUUAAUCGGAAUUACUGGGCGUGAAGCGCGCGUAGGUGGCUUGAUAAGCCGGUUGUGAAAGCCCCGGGCUCAACCUGGGAACGGCAUCCGGAACUGUCAAGCUAGAGUGCAGGAGAGGAAGGUAGAAUUCCCGGUGUAGCGGUGAAAUGCGUAGAGAUCGGGAGGAAUACCAGUGGCGAAGGCGGCCUUCUGGACUGACACUGACACUGAGGUGCGAAAGCGUGGGUAGCAAACAGGAUUAGAUACCCGUGUAGUC
rnacentral:rRNA from 1 species